GGCGCUUAUUGUUUGUUGUUGAAGAAAUGUCAAGAUCAUUUUCGUCUUAAUAUUUUCCUCAUCUAAUUUGAGUUAAUUUUGUAUUAUUUUAUUCGUUUUUUAAUGUUUUAAGUUAGAAAAUCAAUUAAGAUCGUAACCUCAAAAACGUAACUGUUAUGUUUAUUUUGAGACUUUUUAUCAUUAUAAUCGUUAACCAUCUCAAUUAAGAUAAGUCUAUUCAUUGUCUAUUUAUUUAUGUUGAAUGUUUUCGCUUACAUACAAAAAGUUUUUCGCAUAACCUCAAAUUUUUUUUGAUGAAUUUGGUUACAAAUGGGAAAAAUGCGGAGAAAAAUAGAAAGGACACAAACAAAAAUUAUGAAGGUUUAAAAGAAAAAUCGAUCAUUUACAAGAAUAUUUUAUUUUCGUAGAUUUCCUAGAAAGGUCAAUGUCAUUACAAUUUCGUAGAAGCCGAUCACAAAACCUCCUCUCUAAUUUAAGAAAAUCAAUAAUCUAAUAGGGAUUGUUUUGAGGUAAUCAAGUCGGUUCAUUGGAAGAUAAAAUUAUUUAUCGAUGUAAAAAAUUUGGGAUUGAAUUAGAUUAAGUAAGAUUGAAAAGGAAUUUGAAAUAGCUCGACGUAAAAAUUCGCAAGCUUACCAUUUUUCUAGAUAUAGAAUAUUAAAGUUGAAAGGCGGAAGAUGAGGAUGCCCCACGAACCAUCCACCGUCAGGUUUUCUUUGUUGGGAAGGUAAUAAAAGCGAGAUACGUAUUGGGUAACUUUAUCUCAACGAAUUCACUGAAUAUGCAUAAGAUAAAACAUAAAAAAAAUUCACAUCCAAGUGAAUUAGGUACGUUUAGAAAUAAAUUAAAAUGGACUUAAAAA